rnacentral:rRNA from 1 species
GAUGAACGCUAGCGGCAGGCCUAACACAUGCAAGUCGAGGGGUAGAACACUUCGGUGUUUGAGACCGGCGCACGGGUGCGUAACGCGUAUGCAAUCUACCUUGUACAGGGGAAUAGCCCAGAGAAAUUUGGAUUAAUGCCCCAUAGUAUAUAACCUUCGCAUGUUGGUUAUAUUAAAGUUCCAACGGUAAAAGAUGAGCAUGCGUCCCAUUAGUUAGUUGGUAAGGUAACGGCUUACCAAGACGAUGAUGGGUAGGGGUCCUGAGAGGGAGAUCCCCACACUGGUACUGAGACACGGACCAGACUCCUACGGGAGGCAGCAGUGAGGAAUAUUGGUCAAUGGGCGCAAGCCUGAACCAGCCAUGCCGCGUGCAGGAAGACGGUCCUAUGGAUUGUAAACUGCUUUUAUACAGGAAGAAACAACUCUACGUGUAGAGUCUUGACGGUACUGUAGGAAUAAGGAUCGGCUAACUCCGUGCCAGCAGCCGCCGUAAGAC